UACGGAGGGUGCGAGCGUUGUCCGGAAUCACUGGGCGUAAAGGGCGCGUAGGUGGCGCGGGAAGUCAACGGUGAAAGUUCGGGGCUCAACCCUGAAUCGGCCGUCGAUACUCCCGGGCUCGAGCACUGUAGAGGCAGAUGGAAUUCCGGGUGUAGCGGUGGAAUGCGUAGAGAUCCGGAAGAACACCGGUGGCGAAGGCGGCUCUCGUGGGACGGUACUGACGCUGAGACGCGAAAGCGUGGGGAGCGAACAGGAUUAGACU
rnacentral:rRNA from 1 species